rnacentral:rRNA from 1 species
GAUGAACGCUAGCGGGAGGCUUAAUACAUGCAAGUCGAGCGGCAAGUUUUGAUAGCAAUAUUGGAACCUAGAGCGGCGCACGGGUGAGUAACGCGUACAUGACCUGCCCUAUACUGGGGGAUAGUCUUGGGAAACUGAGAAUAAUCCCGCAUGUGAUUAGAAUGCUGCAUGGCAAAUUAAUUAAAGCUGAGGCGGUAUAGGAUGGGUGUGCGUCUGAUUAGCUAGUUGGUAGUGUAACGGACUACCAAGGCGAUGAUCAGUAGGGGGCGUGAGAGCGUGACCCCCCACACGGGUACUGAGACACGGACCCGACUCCUACGGGAGGCAGCAGUAAGGAAUAUUGGUCAAUGGAGGGAACUCUGAACCAGCCAUCCCGCGUGAAGGAUGAAGGGGGCUCUGCCUUGUAAACUUCUUUUGCAUGGGACGAAAAAACUUAAUUUAUUAAGGACUGACGGUACCAUGAGAAUAAGCACCGGCUAACUCCGUGCCAGCA